AACUUUGUGCAGUGGCAGUAUCAUAACCAAUGAAAUUAAUCUGAGGUGUGAUUAUUGCUAGUUGAAAACUUUUCCCAAUACCUAAGCUACUGCAUAGGCAGCUUCUGCCAGCCAAUUUAGAGG
rnacentral:snRNA from 1 species